rnacentral:rRNA from 1 species
UUCGCAAUGCCCGAAAGGGUGACGAAGCGACGCCGCGUGUGGGAAGAAGGCCUUCGGGUUGUAAACCACUGUCGGGAGUUAAGAAAUGCAGGGAUAUUAAUAGUGUCUUUGUUUGACUAAGGCUCCGGAGGAAGCCACGGCUAACUCUGUGCCAGCAGCCGCGGUAAUACAGAGGCGGCAAGCGUUGUUCGGAAUUAUUGGGCGUAAAGAGCACGUAGGCGGCUAUGUAAGUCGGUUGUGAAAGCCUUCCGCUCAACGGAAGAACAGCAUCCGAUACUACAUGGCUUGAGUGCGGGAGGGGAGAGUGGAACUUCUGGUGGAGCGGUGAAAUGCGUAGAUAUCAGAAGGAACGCCGGCGGCGAAAGCGGCUCUCUGGCCCAUAACUGACGCUGAGUGUGCGAAAGCUAGGGGAGCAAACGGGAUUAGAUACCCCGGUAGUCCCAGCCGUAAACGAUGGGCACUAAGUAGAGGGGUUUU